rnacentral:rRNA from 1 species
UACGUAGGUGGCGAGCGUUGUCCGGAUUUACUGGGCGUAAAGAGCGCGCAGGCGGUCGUGCAAGUCGCGUGUGAAAGCCCCCGGCUCAACUGGGGAGGGUCACGCGAUACUGAUCGACUGGAAGGCAGGAGAGGGUAGUGGAAUUCCCGGUGUAGUGGUGAAAUGCGUAGAUAUCGGGAGGAACACCAGUGGCGAAGGCGACUACCUGGCCUGUUCUUGACGCUGAGGCGCGAAAGCUAGGGUAGCAAACGGG